rnacentral:rRNA from 1 species
GACGAACCGUGCGAACGUUGUUCGGAAUCACUGGGCUUAAAGGGCGCGUAGGCGGGCCCGCAAGUCAGGGGUGAAAUCCCACGGCUCAACCGUGGAAGUGCCUUUGAUACUGCGGGUCUCGAGGGAGGUAGGGGCGUGCGGAAACUUCCGGUGUAGCGGUGAAAUGCGCAGAUAUCAGGAAGAACACCCGUGGCGAAGGCGGCUCUCUGGGACGGUACUGACGGCUGAGACGCGAAA